GACUCAUGUUUGUACUUGUUGGAUUAUGUUACGUUUUGGAGACCUUUAAUUAAAGAAAAGUCUUCCUCUCAUCAUGCGGCUGCCAAGCUCUUAUCUGCACUUUGGUCCGAUCCAAACCAAGAACGUGAUACAAAUUGGUGUUUCCAGUGCCCCGGAAGCUCUUCCUACUUCUGGUUAGGGGCCACAAACAAACUGCAUAUCACAGCCUGCGGCAGCACAUUAAAAGGAGUCUCUCCUUUGCUCUUACCACCUGAUGAAGACCUUGGUCAACAUUGAUGCAAUGGGAGGAAUCAACACUAAACCUAUGCCCUGUUUUGGCCUCUACAGUGGACACACUUGCAAGAAAAGGCCUGCAUAAAUUAAAGUUGCGGGAAAAUAAGUUCCGGAAAAAACUGUUUGGGUUUCAUCGUCCAAACGUGCCGCUGAGUACAAUUCUGACUAUGAUCGUGUUAAUGGUUGGAAUUGAAUUCUCACAAAGAUUUUGAGAGUAACAAUAUUUUGGAUCGAUGUUGACGUAAGUAAAUGCAGGACAGAGUGACUGAUUUCUGAGACAUAUGCCUAUUAUUACCUAAAUUUGUAGCAGGCUAUCCUUAAAACAGUCUACAGCAGUAACCUUAGACCUAUCUUCAACUCUUUCCAAAAUUCUUUCCAAUUUUGUUCCUGUCUCCAAUUUAAAGUCUGAAAUGUUGAAAGAAGAAUAAAGGAGUACAGUGAAACAAUAUUGGAGGCCAUCUGAGCAGAUGCGGCCAUUCCUGGAACAAUGGAGUUUAUUGGGAUGAUAGCGUUUUUAUUCUUUUAAUAUGGCAGGGAAUGAAAGAGAAGUGAAACAAAUUUUCACAGCUUUUUAUAUCUAUAGGCAGAUCUAGGGCAAUAAAAAUGGACGCUCCUCUAAAGUUUUACAGCUUACUACGUUCUCUCCUUUCUUUAGUCCACUCAUCAUUCCAUCCUGCUCUUCUUUGCCCUUGUUUGCAUGCUCUUAAGUCAUGGGAACGACAGAAAAUUACCCUACCGGUGCUGCACAUCAACACCCCACCACACCUCCCUUU